CCUACGGGAGGCUGCAGUGGGGAAUAUUGGACAAUGGGGGGAACCCUGAUCCAGCCAUGCCGCGUGUGUGAAGAAGGCCCUCGGGUUGUAAAGCACUUUCAGUGAGGAAGAACGCCUGGUGGUUAAUACCCUUCAGGAAAGACAUCACUCACAGAAGAAGCACCGGCUAACUCCGUGCCAGCAGCCGCGGUAAUACGGAGGGUGCGAGCGUUAAUCGGAAUUACUGGGCGUAAAGCGCGCGUAGGUGGCUUGAUAAGCCGGUUGUGAAAGCCCCGGGCUCAACCUGGGAACGGCAUCCGGAACUGUCAAGCUAGAGUGCAGGAGAGGAAGGUAGAAUUCCCGGUGUAGCGGUGAAAUGCGUAGAGAUCGGGAGGAAUACCAGUGGCGAAGGCGGCCUUCUGGACUGACACUGACACUGAGGUGCGAAAGCGUGGGUAGCAAACAGGAUUAGAUACCCCGGUAGUC
rnacentral:rRNA from 1 species